UACGUAGGGGGCAAGCGUUAUCCGGAUUUACUGGGUGUAAAGGGAGUGUAGGUGGCGUGGCAAGUCAGAUGUGAAAGCCCGGGGCUCAACCGCGGGACUGCAUUUGAAACUGUCAUGCUGGAGUGCAGGAGAGGAAAGUGGAAUUCCUAGUGUAGCGGUGAAAUGCGUAGAUAUUAGGAGGAACACCAGUGGCGAAGGCGGCUUUCUGGACUGUUACUGACACUGAGGCUCGAAAGCGUGGGGAGCAAAC
rnacentral:rRNA from 1 species